rnacentral:rRNA from 1 species
GAUGAACGCUGGCGGCGUGCCUAAUACAUGCAAGUCGAGCGAACGGACGAGAAGCUUGCUUCUCUGAUGUUAGCCGCGGACGGGUGAGUCACACGUGUAUAACCUACCUAUCAGACUGGUAUAACUUCGGGAAACCGGAGCUAACACCGGAUAAUAUUUUGAACCGCAGUGUUCAAAAGUGAAAGACGGUCUUGCUGUCACUUCUCGAUGGAUCUGCGCUGCAUUAGCUAGUUGUUAAGGUAACGGCUUACCAAGGCAACGAUGCAUAGCCGACCUGAGAGGGUGAUCGGCCACACGGGAGCUGAGACACGGACCAGGCUCCUGCGGGAGGCAGCAGUAGGGAAUCUUACGCAGUGGGCGGGAGCCUGACGGAGCAAGGCCGAGUGAGUGAUGAAGGUCUUCGGAUCGUAAAACUCUGUUAUUAGGGAAGAACAUAUGUGUAAGUAACUGUGCACAUCUUGACGGUACCUAAUCAGAAAGCCACGGCUAACUACGUG